rnacentral:rRNA from 1 species
GAGUUUGAUCCUGGCUCAGAACGUACGCUGGCGGCACGCCUAACACAUGCAAGUCGAACGAAGUAGCAAUACUUAGUGGCAGACGGGUGAGUAACAUGUAGGUAUCUGCCCUUUGGCCUGGAAUAACACGAGGAAACUUGUGCUAAUACCGGAUAAGUCUUUACGGAGAAAGCUUUAUGCACCGUUGGAUGAGCCUGCACUUGAUUAGUUUGUUGGUGGGGUAAUGGCCUACCAAGACUGUGAUCAAUAGCUGAUUUGAGAGGAUGAUCAGCCACAUUGGGACUGAGACACGGCCCAAACUCCUACGGGAGGCAGCAGUGGGGAAUCUUGCACAAUGGAGGAAACUCUGAUGCAGCGAUGCCGCGUGAGUGAAGAAGGCCCUUGGGUUGUAAAGCUCUUUCGUCGGGGAAGAAAAUGACUGUACCCGAAUAAGAAGGUCUGGCUAACUUCGUGCCAGCAGCCGCGGUAAUACGAAGGGACCUAGCGUAAUUCGGAAUUACUGGGCUUAAAGAGUUCGUAGGUGGUUGAAAAAGUUAGUGGUGAAAUCCCAGAGCUUAACUCUGGAACUGCCAUUAAAACUUUUCAGCUAGAGUAUGAUAGAGGAAAGCAGAAUUUCUAGUGUAGAGGUGAAAUUCGUAGAUAUUAGAAAGAAUACCAAUUGCGAAGGCAGCUUUCUGGAUCAUUACUGACACUGAGGAACGAAAGCAUGGGUAGCGAAGAGGAUUAGAUACCCUCGUAGUCCAUGCCGUAAACGAUGUGUGUUAGACGUUGGAAAUUUAUUUUCAGUGUCGCAGGGAAACCGAUAAACACACCGCCUGGGGAGUACGACCGCAAGGUUAAAACUCAAAUGAAUUGACGGGGACCCGCACAAGCAGUGGAGCAUGUGGUUUAAUUCGAAGAUACGCGCAGAACCUUACCAACACUUGACAUGUUCGUCGCGACUUUAAGAGAUUAGAGUUUUCGGUUCGGCCGGACGAAACACAGGUGCUGCAUGGCUGUCGUCAGCUCGUGUCGUGAGAUGUUGGGUUAAGUCCCGCAACGAGCGCAACCCUCACUUUUAGUUGCCAUCAUUAAGUUGGGCACUCUGAAAGAACUGCCGGUGAUAAGCUGGAGGAAGGUGGGGAUGACGUCAAGUCCUCAUGGCCCUUACGUGUUGGGCUACACACGUGCUACAAUGGUAUCUACAACAGGAAGCAAGACUGCGAAGUUAAGCAAAUCCCUAAAAGAUACCUCAGUUCGGAUUGCACUCUGCAACUCGAGUGCAUGAAGCUGGAAUUACUAGUAAUCGUGGAUCAGCGUGCCACGGUGAGUGCGUUCCCGGGUCUUGUACACACCGCCCGUCACACCAUGGGAGUUGGUUCUACCCGACGGCCGUGCGCUAACCUUUUGGAGGCAGCGGACCACGGUAGGAUCAGCGACUGGGGUGAAGUCGUAACAAGGUAACC